ACCCGCUGAACUUAAGCAUAUCAAUAAGCGGAGGAAAAGAAAACCAACAGGGAUUGCCCUAGUAACGGCGAGUGAAGCGGCAACAGCUCAAAUUUGAAAUCUGGCGUCUUUGGCGUCCGAGUUGUAAUUUGCAGAGGGCGCUUUGGCAUUGGCAGCGGUCCAAGUUCCUUGGAACAGGACGUCACAGAGGGUGAGAAUCCCGUACGUGGUCGCUAGCCUUUACCGUGUAAAGCCCCUUCGACGAGUCGAGUUGUUUGGGAAUGCAGCUCUAAAUGGGAGGUAAAUUUCUUCUAAAGCUAAAUACUGGCCAGAGACCGAUAGCGCACAAGUAGAGUGAUCGAAAGAUGAAAAGCACUUUGGAAAGAGAGUUAAAAAGCACGUGAAAUUGUUGAAAGGGAAGCGCUUGCAGCCAGACUUGCCUGUAGUUGCUCAUCCGGGUUUUUACCCGGUGCACUCUUCUAUAGGCAGGCCAGCAUCAGUUUGGGCGGUUGGAUAAAGGUCUCUGUCAUGUACCUCUCUUCGGGGAGAACUUAUAGGGGGGACGACAUGCAACCAGCCCGGACUGAGGUCCGCGCAUCUGCUAGGAUGCUGGCGUAAUGGCUGU
rnacentral:rRNA from 1 species